rnacentral:rRNA from 1 species
AGUGAACGCUGGCGGUAGGCCUAACACAUGCAAGUCGAACGGCAGCACAGUAAGAGCUUGCUCUUACGGGUGGCGAGUGGCGGACGGGUGAGGAAUACAUCGGAAUCUACUUUUUCGUGGGGGAUAACGUAGGGAAACUUACGCUAAUACCGCAUACGAUCUACGGGUGAAAGCAGUGGAUCUUCGGACCUUUCGCGAUUGAAUGAGCCGAUGUCGGAUUAGCUAGUUGGCGGGGUAAAGGCCCACCAAGGCGACGAUCCGUAGCUGGUCUGAGAGGAUGAUCAGCCACACUGGAACUGAGACACGGUCCAGACUCCUACGGGAGGCAGCAGUGGGGAAUAUUGGACAAUGGGCGCAAGCCUGAUCCAGCAAUACCGCGUGGGUGAAGAAGGCCUUCGGGUUGUAAAGCCCUUUUGUUGGGAAAGAAAAGCAGCAGGUUAAUACCCCGCUGUUCUGACGGUACCCAAAGAAUAAGCACCGGCUAACUUCGUG